rnacentral:misc_RNA from 1 species
ACAAACUUGGUCAUUUAGAGGAAGUAAAAGUCGUAACAAGGUUUCCGUAGGUGAACCUGCGGAAGGAUCAUUACCAAAUCCAAAUCCAAACCCCAUGUGAACUAUUGUAUAGUCUGUCUUUGGGAGAGAAAAAUAAAAAAGGUUUAUUUAAUUUUUUUUGGAUUUCUCUCCCAAUAGAGUCCGGCGCGACUUUAUUGUUGUGUCCAGAUUCGAAACCCUUUUAAACCACUUGAUUUUUCCGUUGGAAUUUCUUUUUAUUAAUUAUAAUAAAAGACAACUUUUAACGGUGGAUCUCUUGGCUCGUGCAUCGAUGAAGAACGCAGC